GCGAACUGCGUUCGCCACUCUCGCGUCGCGUACCUGGCUGUCCGCUCGCUCGCCCGCCCAUCUGCCCGUGCAACCCCUGCUUGCCGACUCGUCCCACCCCCACGUGAGACCGACGCGGGAUCGAUAUUUACGAGGUAUGUAUCACUACAUUCUAUCAAAAUCGACAGUUCAUUGAACUAUACUUACUGGAUCACGUUGCAUAAAGGUAAUUAAGAUUUUGUAUCAUCGUUAUAUUUCGGUGACAAGAAUACGGAAUCUUUAGAAUUUUCUUGAUUUCUAUAAAAUUAAGUUUAUAAAUAACACAUCACAAAUCGUACGAAUAAUAUUACGUGCUUCUUGAUUGAUCGCAGUGCACAUUCAGAAUUAGCGAAUUAAAUAUGAAAAAAAUAAAUAAUAAAAUUAUAUUUCUCUUAAUUAAUUUCUCAACGAAUGCUCUUGUAUUUACUUACAAUACAAUACAAUACAAUACUUAUUCAUUCUUAGAAUUUUCUAAAAUAGUAGAAAUUCGAUGUAUCUCUCUCGCACAUCUGGCUUCUCCAAUUAGCGCGUCCUUUCUCGUGGACAGUUUCCUCCAUCUUCAUCGUUUCCGUCCGCGUCCGUGCCUCUCGUAGAAAUUGGUUCACGUCGAUCCCCGGAAUAGGGUCGAGGAGCCCUCCGCGCACACACAUCGCGAGCUUCCUUAUUGAUUCGACCGCUGUUGCACCCCUGUGCAAAAAUAAAUUCCCACUAAAUUGUCGUCGCUCAGUAUCGAACCGUGCCGCGCGCCACCACUUAUUUCCGUCGCAAAAUCGAUCCAGUCAUGCCGCGUGGACUUUUUUUCACCAACCACGAGAAUUGUACAAGCGCGUGUCGUUCCAUAAAAUCGAGGUGGAAUCCGUUGUCCCGCGACGGGUGGCGCGUUCCAUUACGCCUAAAUCGCAACGACGACUUCGACAGCUGUCACUUUAUCGUUGCGCGCGUGACUUUCUAUUUCGGAUGUCGAAUCGUAAUUUGACUAGGAGAAAUGUUCACUAGGAGAGAUAUUUUUGCGCCACGUCGACACUCUCUACGAAAAGAAAAGUUUCUUGAGUUGUGUGUAACUUGGGGCGGAGGGUAAAAGCAGUGAAGGGUUUCCGGUAAAUUCGCGUGAUUUAUGCGCCAUCGACGUCCCUUUGAGGUAAGGACCUCUCAAAUCCCCAAAGGACCCAGUGAUAUCGAUGCUUUGGAGACAACAUCGAGUAAUGUCGACGUUCCUGAAAAAAACAUCGAGUGCAAAUAAAACUUUAUUACAUAUUAUUUUUUCUAAUUCUUUUUUUAUAUAUUAAUCAUUUUUUGUAUAAUUGUUUCUUGUAGUUAACUUGAGAUAUCAAUAUUCUGUUGAAUCAAGGUUCUAAUUUCCGCGCCGGAUGUUUUCGAGCGCCGCGUAGAACUCGAGGUAACGCAUGUGCCGCGGCAAUUUUUAUUUCGAGUAAAAAAUUAAUUACCUCCUCUUACGCGGGAAUUAAACGGGUUUCCGGGCGAAUGCCGGGCGAGACUUAGCGGUCGCCGUCCGUUUCCCCUUUCGCCAUCGGACGCCGGUGGUAUUUUCGACGACUCGAUCACCCCUUGUCGACAAUACGUAGCGCGCCGGUUACGGCCGUAACCCUCUUCAUGGCCGAGAAAUAAUUGCGCCCGCAUUUCGCCGUAUUCGCGAGCUUUAUUUCCACAAUGCGAGAGUUAUUCUUCUAUACAACUGUUUAUAUCGUGUCGAUAUACCACAUUUCUUUUUUCAUGCAUUGAGUAUUCUAAUUUUCGUCAACACAAUCGUUAAAAAAAGGAUAUUUACGAAAUAUCGAAAAGAUAUUUAUUUCAUAAUAAAAGUCUAUUUCUUGAAAUAUUUCGUAUAUUUGAAUAACAACGAUUGAAAUAUUUUUCUUGCCUUAUGAAUUCGAGAAUAAUUCAUCGCUAUCUACCAUUUAUAAUAAAAAAUUUAAUAUUGAAGAUCAAAAUCUUUCUUUUAUUAUCACAUUAAAAGUACUUUGAUGUUGUACUUUCACCGAUCAAUCAUAGACUUGAGGAAUAUUUUGAUAUUCUGCUAUCAAAACGAUAGUAAAGAGAAAAACACGUUGUCAGAAAAGAGGAGUAUAUUCCGGAAAUAGCAACCAACCUUUCGGCCGUUUAUGAGUGUAACGGUUAUUAAAGGGUCUUCAUAUCAAAAAGAGGAAACGCUACCUGAGAACUUAGUGACCGUUAAAAGAUGUGAGAGUGGCAGGUCCAACGUUUCUCGAAAGCUCUUACGUUAAACCGUGCAUCUAGUAUCAUCUCCCGUCUUUCGCUAUCUUUUUCCCUUUCACUCCCACUUUUUCUGUGGGAGAAUUCCGUUUGCGAAAGCGUUUCCGGUGUUUCCGUCCGCGGAAACACGACGCGCUUUUCUGUAGUUUAUUACCUCUCGUGCACGAGGAUUUACGCAAGUAAUCCUUUUUCGUGUUUUCACCCUUGAAGAAAUUGAAGUCCUGAUGAAACUGAAUCUUGAAUACGCGCACGUGAAGCGCGAACUUCACCGUAUAGUUGCAAACUUUAUUGUUGCCGAUCAGGACGAUAUAUGAUAUGUUGCAUUUCAAUGAUAUAUUGCAUUUUGCGCUUGUUCGAGUCUUUUCUAUCGCCACGUGGACAAGAGAAUUACAGUGCAGUGCUUGCAUUUUUUAAAAUUAGAAAUAUAUUUUAUUAUUUUAUAGUAUAACAUAGUUUAUACACUUAUAAUUAAAUAUUGAGCAAAUAUGCUGAAUAUUAAAGUUAAAUUAGUUAAAAUGAGGAAUGUUUCUGUAAAAUGAACUCAUAAUUAUCCAAUACUGUUCUGUACUAACUUACAUCAUUGACGUAAUUAACGUGAAACUAAUAUAACGAACGGUAGAUCAUUAUCUCCCCUCUUUCUUUCGAGCAAGUCCCGAAUAAAGUGAGAAGUGCAAAAUUGUAAGGGCGAGUCUCUCUGAGGGCCAUUAAUUGCCGCAGAUAAUAAUGAAACACAUUCUAAAUAUCGACAACGCGAAUACUUGACUUCCAUUGGCGUUUAAUUAAUGCCGAAGGGCUGCAGAGAAGGGUUGGAAACGGGUUGGGCGAGUAUUUAUCGCCGUGAAUCUAAAUUUUUGGUACGAGCACUAUCGAUCCCCUCCCGCGAGUCUUUCUGAAAUCCACGUGAGUCUGAACACCAUUGUCCCUCGUUAUUUUUAUACUUAUGCAGAUCUCGAGAUUUGUCCGGGAUUGCGAUUUGCAAUGCAAAGCUGGCGUAGUGGAGAGAGAUUAUUCGCGGGCGCGCUUGUAUUUAAUUAAGAGAAACUCGUAUCCAGCGAAUCCGCUGAUCUCUCGUAAGAACGAUUUCGAAUUUACAUUAAAUUCUGGCCGGAAUAUUUUAACGCCAGUUUUUUGUUCCGCGAUUAGGUACUAAGCUUUGCUAUCAGCUGUUUAUUUUUGUGCGGAAUUACAUAGUUAUUCAAAAACGAUUAUCUCCGACAGAAGGAUCGAUACAAAUAUAAGAAUCCUCUUGAAAAGUUAUUAAUAUUCGAACAAUUAUAUGUUUUAACUAAAGUAACUAAACUUAAGUAAUAAAGCGUAUAUCCAAUCCAAAAGACAAAAAAAUAUUAGUUUAGAGAUUAGAGAUUAGAGCUUUAGAGAGAGCAGUAGAGAUUAGGUAACAUAUUUAAUAUAUUUAAUACAUGCAUAUUUUAUAUUAAUUUUGAAUGUAAUUUUCAACGUGUAUGAUGGGUAGAUAUUAAGGAUGCAAAUUUGUAUCAUCGUGCGUAUCAUUUAAUUAAUAGCGAGAGCGGGACUGACAAUAGCUAGUGGCAUUCUACGUAUACUUUCAGGGAAAUUAAUACGGAAAAUGAGUAGCCGCAUCGGUGCAUAGCUGUUGUGGAAGUGACCACCUAGUAUUAUAUUGUAUCUACACAGUGUGUUUAAAAUUUUCAUUCAAUUAGGACUUAUCGAAAAUAUUAAUCUUUUCUAAAUAAAAAUUUUGGGUUCUUUUUCAACAAUUAUUUUAGUUUGUACAAUUUAAUUUUAUAAAAUUUUUCUUGAAUUUAUCUCUGUUCUUAAGCUAUAUGAUCUCAUUUAAGUGUCAUUCUUUUAUUAAAGAGAUAACGUGAUUUUUCUUUACUUGAUUCCCAUCAAUUUGAUUUUCGGCCACUUUUAGAUAAAUAAUUCAAGAAUUGUCGACUUCUUUUCAAGACAUAGUAGACAUGACAUCAGAGACACCUUGUAUACUGGCUUGCUGCUGUUUUGCUUAUAUGUAUCGCAUAUUGCGCACGUUCGCUGCAUUGUCGCUCCAUGCAUAGCGUUUCCAACAGAGAUACCAAAAAGCCGCAUCACCUCCAACCGUUCAGGUUUAUGUAUAUUUUAUACAAAAAUGUAGUAAAGGAUGAGAGAAAUGGAAUUUUUUUAUAGUCUCUCGUGAGAUGUGAGAAAAUGAAUAUCGCGUGAUUAACGCGCUUCCAGGGAAAA